GUUUUCUAUAAAAAGUCUUAGUUGAUAAGUCUACUAACAGUAACAAGAAAGUUAUGAAUGAUUGAAAUUUGAUCAUUCCUCUGCGGCAAAAAUAGUGCAAUUUUUGCCGAAUGGUAAAGAGUUAAGUUUACUUACUUUUAUAAAUUUUACCUUAUCUUUCUGUGGGUGGGAUGGGAUCAUAUUCAUAUCAUUCUAACAAAGCAACAUUUCAGAUUUUUUUCUGUCAAAAAAGUUUGGGAUGGAUUGAGUUACUUAGAAAUAACUAAUUUGCAUCAAAAUGUUCAUCUGCAUCUAGAAACCUGGGCAUUGACAUUAAUAAUAUGAGGUGUAGAGACACUGUAUUAUGGUCCCAUAUAAUAUUAUAUUAAUCUUAUAUAUGGUUGUUAUGUGACCGGUGCAAGAGUGCUUAUAUUUACACAAAUUUUGUGUGUAUUAUAUGUAUAUAUGACCUGUAAUAUAUUAUGCUUUAUAUUUUUAUAUAUUCCCCUUUGAUGUAAUUUAUUAAUGUAGAUAAAAGUAGAAAUUUAGUCAUGUGACAGUUUACCUUAGUAUAAAGAAAUAUAACAUUUGACAUCAUGAACUCUUUUUAGAUUUUUGUUUUUGAUUUCAUUUGAUAAAAAACUCAAAGGAUAAAAUUAUAAAUCUUUACUUAAAAAGAAAAUCAUUUCAAUUACAUGUAUUAUGAAACCCGCGCGACUUGCUUGUAAAAAAUGGUUCUUUCAACAAACAUUUCCUUUUAAGAUCACUUGUCAUUUGCUCUCCACUAUUAAAACCUCCUCUUUAAUUUUUCAUGGGACUCAUGGCUAAACAAACAUGUUAGAAACAAUAAAUAGAAAGCCCCUUUGAUAAAAAUCUAUCCUAUUUAGGAGAAAAACCUUUCAAGAAAGAAAGAGUAUAUCUUUUAUUUUGACUGGUCAAUCCUUCUGUAAUUGCAAAGAACAAACUUUUUGGGGAAAUAUAUUAGGAGACUAUUAAAUAUUCUUUACUAAAUUCUGAUCAGUCGGUUCACAUAACAGAUGUGAGGUAAUAGAGAAUUCCAGUGUAUGCAAAUUAUUUCGGUUUGAAUUGGACUAGUAAACGAUUUAAACUUCUAGAAAUGAUGCAAAGAUUUCUCAUUUUGUGAUAAUACACUCAAGGCAUGCAAAAUGACAGUUCCAUUGAGAUUAAGACAUUAUUCAUCAAGGGCUUCUUUCUCUGUUUUAAACUACUAUUUUACCAUAAAUAGGUCAUAUACAAUUUUCACCAAACAUGACAGGAAUAUUGUGAGAACACAAAAUUUUGGUGACCCAGAAUUAUGAAGAGACAUCACGUCUGGAAAAUACAUAAAAAUCAGAUUAAUCAAAACAUUUAAAGGGAGUCUGAAUAAGUAAGGUGUAAGGAUUAUUAGACAAUUGCCAUAUUUAAAAUCACAAUAUUUGUUUUUCAUCCCAACGAAAUAUCAAACUGGUUGGAUAUAAUAUUAUCCUUUGCACAUGUAUGAUUUAAAGGUGCCUAAUUAAUGAUUUUUGUUAUAGAAAAUGAUAUGUUAUGAUCAUCCAUCAGAUAAGUUAGUGAUAAAGUCUAUCAAAGGGCUUCUAGUUGUAUGUUUU
rnacentral:lncRNA from 1 species